rnacentral:rRNA from 1 species
CAGUCGCCGCGGUAAUACGGAGGGGGCUAGCGUUGUUCGGAAUUACUGGGCGUAAAGCGCACGUAGGCGGCUUGGUAAGUUAGAGGUGAAAGCCCAGGGCUCAACCCUGGAAUUGCCUUUAAGACUGCCGAGCUAGUAGGUGAGAGAGGUGAGUGGAAUUCCGAGUGUAGAGGUGAAAUUCGUAGAUAUUCGGAAGAACACCAGUGGCGAAGGCGGCUCACUGGCUCAUUCUAGACGCUGAGGUGCGAAAGCGUGGGGAGCGAACAGGAUUAGAUACCCGGGUAGUCCCUGUCUCUUAUAU